rnacentral:rRNA from 1 species
UACGUAGGGGGCAAGCGUUGUCCGGAAUCAUUGGGCGUAAAGAGCGUGUAGGCGGCCUGGUAAGUCCGCUGUGAAAGUCCAGGGCUCAACCCUGGAAUGCCGGUGGAAACUGUCAGGCUCGAGUCCGGAAGAGGCGAGUGGAAUUCCUGGUGUAGCGGUGAAAUGCGCAGAUAUCAGGAGGAACACCAAUGGCGAAGGCAGCUCGCUGGGACGGUACUGAGCUGAGACGCGAAAGCGUGGGGAGCGAACAGG